GAGCUCUUUUGACUCGGCCUAUCAAGCGGCCAAUAAGUACUGACAUAAGAACUUCAAAGCUAUGCCCUAGAAACCACUUACAGCACCCUAGCAACUGUAAAAGGACAUUAACAAACUAUUUUUCAGCACCAUGUUUGUAGAAACAUUGGGUAGGGCUCUGUUGAUUCAGACUGUCAAAUAGUCUUUAAAUAUCAUGCCAUAAACUGUAUAGCCACACCAUAGCAACCAUAUAGAGCACCCUAGCAACCAUAUAGCAACAAGAAGCCAUAUCUCAGCUCCACAACAUCAUACAGACAUGGGAGUUGGCUCUCUACGAUCAUGCUGAAAGCUAUAUUGACAGUCUAGUGCAGAGUUUUGCCACGGCAAGCACCACUCACAUUUUCUUCAGGAAAUGUACAUUCUAGUUUGUUUUGGUAUUUCGUUUUUGAUGUGUGUUUAACUUUGUGGGGGGUUUACGAGGCACUGGCAGAGAGAGCCGUCUGAGAUGAAAAUCAAAAGUUAAAUUGCGUCAAUAGCAGACACGCGGUCGUCGUGAAGCAGGCGGAAAGAGAGCCCUCGUGAAGGCUCAUAUGAAGUACGCAGCAGGACUGGCAGACAGGCGGUCAUCCUGAAGCAGGCGGGAAGAGAGCCUUGUGAUAAAGACUCACUGAAGUUUGCUGUGCCGGUAGCCGUUGACUUGCAUUAUAUGAAUCACAGGACCACAGUUCCAGCUAAAAACUUCUUUAGUGUUGAACUGAAGAAGAAAAGUCACCUACAUUUGGAUGAUGUCCGAUGAUCGCAGCAUGAUCCUUGAUGUGUUCAAUGUAUUCUACUUUCCAUGGGGCAGAAAGACCUGCAGCCUAAAAUACAGUCUUUGGCAAACCUAUUUGGUUAAAAAGUAAAACACUUCUUUUUUUUCUUUUUCUUUUUUUUUUUGCACACUUUGAAUAGCUACUACCAUUCACAAAUACUGUGCAAAUUUCUAUGCUCCAUACAGAUUCACGUUUUGGUAACAAUUAAAAUGUUUCUGUUGAAAAUGUGACUUAACAAUAUGAGCUUACUCUUAUAACAGCAUUGUUUCUGUUAAGUACAUUAAUGUAGGUGACAAACUGUUGUUGUUCAGUGUGCUUUUAAUUGUUCUGAUACUCCAAGUAUUUUAAUUGUAUUUUUUAUUAUUAAAUGUUAUUAUGCAGUUAAGUAUACAUUAUCGAAAUUCAUCUAUGUAGUGUAACCCAAAUAAAGUUGUUGAUGUGAAGAAAAAAAUGUUUUAAUGAUUUAUAAAAUAAUUUAAAGCCAAUAAACACAAUAUAUA